rnacentral:rRNA from 1 species
GAUGAACGCUAGCGGCAGGCCUAACACAUGCAAGUCGAGGGGUAACUAGAGUGAUAGCAAUAUUACUUUGGCUUGACCGGCGCACGGGUGCGUAACACGUAUGCAACCUACCUUAUACUGGGGAAUAACUUCGAGAAAUCGGCGCUAAUACCCCAUAACAUUGCGAAGAGGCAUCUCUUUGCAAUUAAAGCUCCGGCGGUAUAAGAUGGGCAUGCGUCCAAUUAGCUAGUUGGUGAGGUAACGGCUCACCAAGGCUACGAUUGGUAGGGGUUCUGAGAGAAUGAGCCCCCACCCUGGUACUGAUACACGGACCAGACUCCUACGGGAGGCAGCAGUGAGGAAUAUUGCGCAAUGGACGAAAGUCUGACGCAGCCAUGCCGCGUGCAGGAUGACGGCCCUAUGGGUUGUAAACUGCUUUUGUACGGGAAUAAACCCUUCUACGUGUAGGAGGCUGAAGGUACCGUAAGAAUAAGCACCGGCUAACUCCGUGCCAGCCGCCGCGGUAAUAC